rnacentral:rRNA from 1 species
GCGGCGUGCUUAACACAUGCAAGUCGAACGGAAAGGCCCUGCUUUUGUGGGGUGCUCGAGUGUCGAACGGGUGAGUAACACGUGAGUAACCUGCCCUUGACUUUGGGAUAACUUCAGGAAACUGGGGCUAAUACCGGAUAGGAGCUCCUGCUGCAUGGUGGGGGUUGGAAAGUUUCGGCGGUUGGGGAUGGACUCGCGGCUUAUCAGCUUGUUGGUGGGGUAGUGGCUUACCAAGGCUUUGACGGGUAGCCGGCCUGAGAGGGUGACCGGCCACAUUGGGACUGAGAUACGGCCCAGACUCCUACGGGAGGCAGCAGUGGGGAAUAUUGCACAAUGGGCGGAAGCCUGAUGCAGCAACGCCGCGUGCGGGGUGACGGCCCUCGGGUUGUAAACCGCUUUCGCCUGUGACGAAGCGUGAGUGACGGUAAUGGGUAAAGAAGCACCGGCUAACUACGUGCCAGCAGCCGCGGUGAUACGUAGGGUGCGAGCGUUGUCCGGAUUUAUUGGGCGUAAAGGGCUCGUAGGUGGUUGAUCGCGUCGGAAGUGUAAUCUUGGGGCUUAACCCUGAGCGUGCUUUCGAUACGGGUUGACUUGAGGAAGGUAGGGGAGAAUGGAAUUCCCGGUGGAGCGGUGGAAUGCGCAGAUAUCAGGAGGAACACCAGUGGCGAAGGCGGUUCUCUGGGCCUUUCCUGACGCUGAGGAGCGAAAGCGUGGGGAGCGAACAGGCUUAGAUACCCUGGUAGUCCACGCUGUAAACGGUGGGUACUAGGUGUGGGGUCCAUUCCACGGGUUCCGUGCCGUAGCUAACGCUUUAAGUACCCCGCCUGGGGAGUACGGCCGCAAGGCUAAAACUCAAAGGAAUUGACGGGGCCCCGCACAAGCGGCGGAGCAUGCGGAUUAAUUCGAUGCAACGCGUAGAACCUUACCUGGGUUUGACAUGGAUCGGGAGUGCUCAGAGAUGGGUGUGCCUCUUUUGGGGUCGGUUCACAGGUGGUGCAUGGCUGUCGUCAGCUCGUGUCGUGAGAUGUUGGGUUAAGUCCCGCAACGAGCGCAACCCUUGUUCACUGUUGCCAGCACGUUAUGGUGGGGACUCAGUGGAGACCGCCGGGGUCAACUCGGAGGAAGGUGGGGAUGACGUCAAGUCAUCAUGCCCCUUAUGUCCAGGGCUUCACGCAUGCUACAAUGGCUGGUACAGAGAGUGGCGAGCCUGUGAGGGUGAGCGAAUCUCGGAAAGCCGGUCUCAGUUCGGAUUGGGGUCUGCAACUCGACCUCAUGAAGUCGGAGUCGCUAGUAAUCGCAGAUCAGCAACGCUGCGGUGAAUACGUUCCCGGGGCUUGUACACACCGCCCGUCAAGUCAUGAAAGUUGGUAACACCCGAAGCCGGUGGCCUAACCGUUGUGGGGGAGCCGUCGAAGGUGGGACUGGUGAUUAGGACUAAGUCGU